rnacentral:rRNA from 1 species
UUCAGAUUGGCUUCGGAGGUCCGGCAACGGCCCACUGUCGCUGAGAAGUUGAUCAAACUUGGUCAUUUAGAGGAAGUAAAAGUCGUAACAAGGUU